rnacentral:rRNA from 1 species
GUCCACGCUGUAAACGAUGACGACUAGGUGUGGGGGGUUCAGUCCCUUCCGUGCCGCAGCUAACGCAUUAAGUCGUCCGCCUGGGGAGUACGGCCGCAAGGUUGAAACUCAAAGGAAUUGACGGGGGCCCGCACAAGCGGUGGAGCAUGUGGUUCAAUUCGAUGCAGAGCGAAGAACCUUACCUGGGCUUGACAUGCAGGAAGUAGGAACCGGAAACGGGGACUACCUGUUAAGUCAGGAACCUGCACAGGUGGUGCAUGGCUGUCGU